rnacentral:rRNA from 1 species
CUAGAGUUUUGAUCCUGGCUCAGAUUGAACGCUAGCGGGAUGCCUUACACAUGCAAGUCGAACGGCAGCACGGACUUCGGUCUGGUGGCGAGUGGCGAACGGGUGAGUAAUGUAUCGGAACGUGCCUAGUAGCGGGGGAUAACUACGCGAAAGCGUAGCUAAUACCGCAUACGCCCUACGGGGGAAAGCAGGGGAUCGCAAGACCUUGCACUAUUAGAGCGGCCGAUAUCGGAUUAGCUAGUUGGUGGGGUAACGGCUCACCAAGGCGACGAUCCGUAGCUGGUUUGAGAGGACGACCAGCCACACUGGGACUGAGACACGGCCCAGACUCCUACGGGAGGCAGCAGUGGGGAAUUUUGGACAAUGGGGGAAACCCUGAUCCAGCCAUCCCGCGUGUGCGAUGAAGGCCUUCGGGUUGUAAAGCACUUUUGGCAGGAAAGAAACGUCGCGGGUUAAUACCCCGCGAAACUGACGGUACCUGCAGAAUAAGCACCGGCUAACUACGUGCCAGCAGCCGCGGUAAUACGUAGGGUGCAAGCGUUAAUCGGAAUUACUGGGCGUAAAGCGUGCGCAGGCGGUUCGGAAAGAAAGAUGUGAAAUCCCAGAGCUUAACUUUGGAACUGCAUUUUUAACUACCGAGCUAGAGUGUGUCAGAGGGAGGUGGAAUUCCGCGUGUAGCAGUGAAAUGCGUAGAUAUGCGGAGGAACACCGAUGGCGAAGGCAGCCUCCUGGGAUAACACUGACCG